rnacentral:rRNA from 1 species
CAGUCGCCGCGGGAAUACAGAGGGUGCAAGCGUUAAUCGGAAUUACUGGGCGUAAAGCGCGCGUAGGUGGUUUGUUAAGUUGGAUGUGAAAGCCCCGGGCUCAACCUGGGAACUGCAUCCAAAACUGGCAAGCUAGAGUACGGUAGAGGGUGGUGGAAUUUCCUGUGUAGCGGUGAAAUGCGUAGAUAUAGGAAGGAACACCAGUGGCGAAGGCGACCACCUGGACUGAUACUGACACUGAGGUGCGAAAGCGUGGGGAGCAAACAGGAUUAGAUACCCGUGUAGUCCCUGUCUCUUAUAC